UACAGAGGGUGCGAGCGUUAAUCGGAAUUACUGGGCGUAAAGGGCUCGUAGGCGGCCAACUAAGUCAGACGUGAAAUCCCUCGGCUUAACCGGGGAACUGCGUCUGAUACUGGAUGGCUCGAGUUUGGGAGAGGGAUGCGGAAUUCCAGGUGUAGCGGUGAAAAUGCGUAGAUAUCUGGAGGAACACCGGUGGCGAAGGCGGCAUCCUGGACCAACACUGACGCUGAUGAGCGAAAGCCAGGGGGAGCAAACGGG
rnacentral:rRNA from 1 species